rnacentral:sRNA from 1 species
GUUUGCACUCAUCGGGGAAGGGUGAGAACCUUCGACUAAGGUUCGAUUCGAGCGAAAGCGAGAGAACGUUGCCACAGGCAACGGCCCGAAGGGUGAGGAGCGAAGCGACGAAUAAUCCUUCCCCCACCACUA